ensembl:lncRNA
UUGGGAGUUGGGGAAUGAAAGCUUUUCUUUCUUUCUUUUUUUUUUCUUCCCUCUUCUUGCCUUCUUUAUUAUUAAUAUUUUGUAAAGCUUCAGUGCUAAGAGGAGUGGCCCUGAGAGAGGACAGACUCUUCACGGACGGCGGGGAGAGCAGCGGCUCCACCAGGAGACGGCGCCGACCCGCAGUGGCCGCCCGAGGGAGACCCCGACCGUCGGCCGAGGGCCCUAUCCUUCGAGGUGUUCCAGGGAGACCCUGAGGGGUGUGGAACGUGCACCCACAGGGCACAGGGGCUCGAUCCCUGGUCCCAGAAGAUCCCACAUGCCGAGGGGCAACUAAGACCAUGAGCUAC